rnacentral:rRNA from 1 species
UGGGGAAUAUUGCACAAUGGGGGAAACCCUGAUGCAGCAACGCCGCGUGAAGGAAGAAGGUCUUCGGAUUGUAAACUUCUUUUGUCAGGGACGAAGAAAGUGACGGUACCUGACGAAUAAGCUCCGGCUAACUACGUGCCAGCAGCCGCGGUAAUACGUAGGGAGCGAGCGUUGUCCGGAUUUACUGGGUGUAAAGGGUGCGUAGGCGGCCGAGCAAGUCAGUUGUGAAAACUAUGGGCUUAACCCAUAACGUGCAAUUGAAACUGUCCGGCUUGAGUGAAGUAGAGGUAGGCGGAAUUCCCGGUGUAGCGGUGGAAUGCGUAGAUAUCGGGAGGAACACCAGUGGCGAAGGCGGCCUACUGGGCACCAACUGACGCUGAGGCUCGAAAGUGUGGGUAGCAAACAGGAUUAGAUACCCUGGUAGUCCAUGCCGUAAACGAUGAUUACUAGGUGUUGGAGGAUUGACCCCUUCAGUGCCGCAGUUAACACAAUAAGUAAUCCACCUGGGGAGUACGACCGCAAGGUUGAAACUCAAAGGAAUUGACGGGGGCCCGCACAAGCAGUGGAGUAUGUGGUUUAAUUCGAAGCAACGCGAAGAACCUUACCAGGUCUUGACAUCCGAUGCAUAGUGCAGAGAUGCAUGAAGUCCUUCGGGACAUCGAGACAGGUGGUGCAUGGUUGUCGUCAGCUCGUGUCGUGAGAUGUUGGGUUAAGUCCCGCAACGAGCGCAACCCUUAUUGCCAGUUACUACGCAAGAGCACUCUAAUAGGACUGCCGUUGACAAAACGGAGGAAGGUGGGGAUGACGUCAAAUCAUCAUGCCCUUUAUGACCUGGGCUACACACGUACUACAAUGGCGUUUAACAAAGAGAAGCAAGACCGCGAGGUGGAGCAAAACUCAAAAACAACGUCUCAGUUCAGAUUGCAGGCUGCAACUCGCCUGCAUGAAGUCGGAAUUGCUAGUAAUCGCGGAUCAGCAUGCCGCGGUGAAUACGUUCCC